rnacentral:rRNA from 1 species
UGAUCAAAGUUAUCGGAUCGUAAAGCUCUAGUGUUAGGGAUAACAAGUUCCGUUCGAAUAGGACGAUACAUUGACGGUACCUAACCAGAAAGCCUCGGCUAACUACGUGCCAGCAGCCGCGGUAAUACGUAGGUGGCAAGCGUUGUCCGGAAUUAUUGGGCGUAAAGCGNUCGCAGGCGGUUUCUUAAGUCUGAUGUGAAAGCCCACGGCUCAACCGGGGAGGGUCAUUGGAAACUGGCNAACUUGAGUGCAGAAGAGGAGAGUGGAAUUUCACGUGUAGCGGUGAAAUGCGUAGAGAUGUGGAGGAACACCAGUGGCGAAGGCGANUCUCUGGUCUGUCACUGACGCUGAGGAGCGAAAGCGUGGGGAGCGAACAGGAUUAGAUACCCCGGUAGUCCACGCCGUAAACGAUGAGUGCUAAGUGUUAGGCGGUUUCCGCCCCUUAGUGCUGCAGCUAACGCAUUAAGCACUCCGCCUGGGGAGUACGGUCGCAAGACUGAAACUCAAAGGAAUUGACGGGGGCCCGCACAAGCGGUGGAGCAUGUGGUUUAAUUCGAAGCAACGCGAAGAACCUUACCAGGUCUUGACAUCCUGUGACUAUCCUAGAGAUAGGACGUCCCCUUCGGGGGCAGAGUCACAGGUGGUGCAUGGUUGUCGUCAGCUCGUGUCGUGAGAUGUUGGGUUAAGUCCCGCAACGAGCGCAACCCUUGAUCUUAGUUGCCAGCAUUCAGUUGGGCACUCUAAGCUGACUGCCGGUGACAAACCGGAGGAAGGUGGGGAUGACGUCAAAUCAUCAUGCCCCUUAUGACCUGGGCUACACACGUGCUACAA